GACGAACGCUGGCGGCGUGCUUAACACAUGCAAGUCGAACGGAAAGGCCCUGCUUUUGUGGGGUGCUCGAGUUGCGAACGGGUGAGUAACACGUGAGUAACCUGCCCUUGACUUUGGGAUAACUUCAGGAAACUGGGGCUAAUACCGGAUAGGAGCUCCUGCUGCAUGGUGGGGGUUGGAAAGUUUCGGCGGUUGGGGAUGGACUCGCGGCUUAUCAGCUUGUUGGUGGGGUAGUGGCUUACCAAGGCUUUGACGGGUAGCCGGGCUGGGAGGGUAAGAGGCCACAUUGGGACUGAGAUGAGGCCCAGACUCGUACGGGAGGCAACGGUGGGGAAGAGUGCACAAUGGGCGGAAGGCUGAUGCAGCAACGCCGCGUGGGGGAUGACGGCCUUGGGGUUGGAAACCGCUUUCGCCUGUGACGAAGCGUGAGUGACGGUAAUGGGUAAAGAAGCACCGGCUAACUACGUG
rnacentral:rRNA from 1 species